rnacentral:lncRNA from 1 species
ACAUGCACACAAUACUAGCAAAAAUAUAAACUAGUAAACACAUAGUAAAGACACAUGCGCUUGUGCUCAGAACACACCACCGCCCCCUUCAGCUAGCACCAGUCUGGUUUACACAGACAGAACACUUCCCCAACUAACAUCAUCUCUAACAUCAUCUGUAACAUGCAGAACACUUCCCCAUCAUCUCCAACAUCAUCUGUAACAUCAUCUAUAGCAUAGCAUAUAGUAUAGCAUCAUAUAGCUACUUUAGCUAGUUCUCCC